ensembl:lncRNA
UGCUUCAAUGAAUUUCUAUUUUACUCCCCCUUAACUCCAUCUAGCUUCUGCUGCAGCUCCUUAAGGCAUCAAGGGAACAGACUGGAACCUGUCUGUGUGUCCUGCAGUAGGAGCCUGUGCCUGUGUCCCAGCAGUGUGUGGGCAGGGGUACAGUUUUCAGACAGUCACUGCCUGGGUGAGUGGAGAAAAUGCUGAAGCACUGAGAGAAAACCACUCCUGAAGAGCAGCAGAACUUGCCCAGAAGGAUGUUUCAUAGUGCAGCAAUUAACUGAUACACCAGGCUAUCAGGUGCCAAGGGGCUCUUUCCAUGGAAGAGGACAUCUGAAUCCAAGACAUUUAUUUUGCAUCUGAGGAGGUGCAGUGAGAGCCAGAGGUCACUCUUCUCCUGGCCAGUAAAUCUGUGAGAAAGUGGCAAUGAAAUGUUAAUUACCUCCAAAAUUAUCUGCCUCCAGUUAUUGCUAGAAAUGGCAUUGAAAACAACAAAAUGUUGAACCUCAUGCCACUUCACCAAGACUUCAAGACUUUUGACACUGGUGCAAAGGCUUCCACAGCAGAUCUGCACUGCAUGGAGAAGCUUUUCCUUCUGAUGCCUGCUUAUUUGGACAUUAAUCUUCUCAAUGUUUGUGAAAAUCUCUGGAGAAGAGGGAUUCACGUGAAACACAAGGAGGAGAAUGAAGGCACCUCAGUGAUCUCUGAGAGAUUUUAUGCACUCAGGUGACAAGAUUUUCCAAAGUAUUUACAGUAUUUACAAAACUGAUGGCUAUUGUCAGUCCAGAGUUAUCUGUCACGGUUGUAAAGGGAAUUUUGACUUCACAACAAAAGAGUCUCUUCUUUUCUGUGAUUUUUCCCCCCCAUGUCUGUAUGUAUACAUAUAAAAACACAUUUUAAAUUCAUUCCUGUGCUUCACUUUCACAAAGAAGACUCGCUGUCUGUCAGUUCCUGUUGUAGCUGUCUCCAAAGCUCCAGAGUUUUUAUUUGCUUCCUCUGCCAAUGAAUAUGUAGAAACUCCAUCAAAACCCAAGGAGUCACACCUGUGUAAAACUGGUUCCAACAUUGCACCUAUUGUGUUUAGAAGUCAAAUGUACACAUUUGCAGAAUCCCAAGGAAGUGAAACAUUUGCUUUAAAUGGAUGCAAGAGAGGUCAUGGCAAUGUCUGUGAGAUCCUAAGCCUGAGUUUUUUGCUGCUCUUUUUAACUCUUCUGAAACAAUCCAUGAAAAUCAGGAUGCAACAAGGACUCUUUUAGCCCCAAGCAGGGAAAAAGACUUUGUAAAACAAGAACCAAGAGUGAUGUUUGGAAUCCACAACUUAGUCUUAUUAAAAAGAACAGGAGGGGCACAGGUGGGCAGAAAAUGGUGGUGCCUUCAGGUGGGAGUGUGGGAAUUGUCUCCUAAAUUAAAGUUUUCCUCACAAUCGUGAAAUGCUUUAGUAAUUUUUAAGGCACUAUCCUCAAACUUAUUAAUUUACACUUACAUUGAGGCGCCCCUUGCACCAGAAUUGGGUGGUGUCUGCAAAUUACAGCACCUUACAGUUCUGCUGCCUUCAUGUGCCUCAUUCCCACAUAAAUGCCGUGUGCCCUCCCACCCCUGUGCCAUGCAUAUGUAAAAUCUGCUUUAAUUCCAAUCAACCCCUCAGCAAAUGCCAUUUUAGUCCUGAAUUGUGCCCAAAGGAUUGAGGGGAUGUGCUCUGCAGUGCUGUGCAGGCACACAGAGACAAACCCUGCAGUGCUGCUGCAGCAUCACCAGGCAUCUGGAAUCCAACAGGAACAUGAAAUAUAUAUAUAUAUAUAUAUGUUUUUCAUUCACACGGUGGAGAAAAAAUGGGUUAUUUAACAGAAAAAAUCCAACCCCACAAAGCAGUUUUGUGGAAGAAAGCAGGUGGUCUCCAAUUUAAAAGCACUUGCAAUUUUGGUUGCUGUCUUACAUAUGUAGGUGGGGGAGCAUAAAACACUGGCUGGAUUUUUCUGAUCAUUUCCCUUGCUAACAUCCAAGCAAAACCAAAGUGAAUUUUAGCAUCUCACGCUGCAUCUUUUAAAAGCUCUUCACAGAUGUAUUCCUUAACAGUACAAAAACACUUUUCUUAAUUCUCUUAAUUGCUUGGAAUUGUUGUCUGUGGAAGUAAUUGGUGAGUAAAUUGUUUUAGCUGGAAAUCAAUGUCAUGCAGCCAAACCAACAGAUUGUAGGGGCGAAUAACAAAAUUCAAUUCAAACAAGCAGGAAUAAGAGGUUUUAUGCUACUUAUGUAUUUUUGAUCAAAAUAAACUACCUGAUGGUGCACAGGAAGGGAGUGUGGGGUAACAGGAUGGAAGGAAAAUAUCUGUUCUAGCCAUCCAUCUACUCUAAAGUCUGAACUUUUCCAAAUUUCCAGUCGUGAUUAAUUUGCGUGUUUCAUGCUACAAAGGGAUGGAGUGAGCAGCAAACACUCAUAAGGACAAAUGUCUGUUUUAUCAGAACUGCCCUCUGAAAUCCCCUGUUUCCUUUUAAAAAUACAUCAAAACAUGCAUUCCCUUUUUGGUGGUGGUGAACAGUGCACUUCACAUUAAACACAAAAGGAAGAGAUCUCUGCACUGGCAACUGAAACCUGGAUUGAUGGAAAUCAAAAUUCAGUAGAUUGAUAUUGAUAUCAAUAUAUUGACUGAUAUAUUGACAUUGAUCUGUUUGUAUCAGCUGAGAACUGGGAGCAGUGCUGUAAACUGAAUAUUAAAUGAGUUUUCUGCAUGUACUGGGGCUGGGCAGAACACAGGACUGGUUUCCCACUGCUAACUCUGCUGCAUUUGUCCUUCUCACAGAUCUGAUUGACUGAGGCAGUGGGGUGAGCUCAGCCCCCUGCUACAACCCUGUAAUACAAUUUCUCCUGUAACUGCCAAUCUGUAAUCUUAUGGGUAAUUAUAGUUUAAGAGCAUUUUACUUAAGGAAACCAUAAUUAGUGCUGUGAUGUUUAAAUAAGGUUUGAAGGCUUUAUUCGCUGCUAGUAGCUGAUGAUCAGUACAACCUCUAGAAGUCACAGGGAUCUGAAGCAUGGAUAGAUUCAUUUUUCCUGGUCCAUGCCCAAACAAGAGGGAAAAAAACCCCAAAAAAACAAAAAACAAACAAACAAACAAAACCAAACCAAAAAAAACCAACAAAAAAACCCAACAAAAACAAAACAAAAAAACCCCAAAAAAACCCCAAAACCCCCCAAAAACUCCACAACAACAAAGAUAAUCUAAUUCAAGCUUUGACACUGAUGGGAAAAAGAGGGGAGGGAGGGAAUUGUAAAUUCACCUCAGGAAAGUGUCCUGUUGUUGGAUUGCCUAGAGGACAAAAAUUAAAAAGCUCAUUCAUGUCCAGUUAGGGCUUCCUUUAAUUGGCUCAGACCUUGGCCUGCAGGAAGAUCAUCUUCCCAAACCAGGUGUGUGCAUCUGCAGUUUUAUCACUCUUUAGAGACAUUCCCUUUCCCAGCCUACUUCCUACCUUUUAAAAAGUGGAUAUAUAUUAUCUUAGACUGCAUCAUUAUCUAAAGAUCAAGAAACCUCCUUUCCAAUGACACAUUAGAUGUGAUUCAUUGCACCAGCUUUUGAUUAAUUUAAUGUUAAACUAAGCCUGUCCCAGCCUAUGCCAAUCCCUCAGCUGCUUUAUAUGACAGGCAAAAGGGCAAAGGCACUUCCAAAGCCAUUUCCUGCAUUAAUCUUAGAACCCAGGGACUGCAACCAUCAGGACAUUUUGGAGGCCUACCUGUUGCAUAGCAAAAAUAAGGCUUUAGUCCAAAAGCAGUUGUGGUGAAGACAAGUGGAAGUAUUGGGAGGAAAUUAUAAACAGCAGAGGUGAGGGCCUGGGCAAAGUGGAAGGUCUCCUAAACACAGCUCCAAAGCUCAGAGGAUGGUUGGGGUGAGGUUUCUUUUACCCAGACAACCUCUCAAGUUUUUCUCUCCCUCUAUUAGAUGGAUAUUUUUACUGCGGGUCCAUAUUAACAAUGCUACCAGCUGCUUCUCCAGGUGAAAUUAUUGAAAAAAGUUACUUCACCUUCCUUCCUACAUGCCAACACAUGAGCUGAAGGAUUUAGGCUUUGUUUUUCCUGUCACAAGUGAAGACAUCACUAAAGGAAGCAAAUAAUUUCUUCUGCCUCAGCAUUCAGCAGUUUUUACCUUGCAAACAAAGCAAACUGAACCCGGGUCUUGGGUGGAUGAGAAGUUCCCAUAAAAAAAAAAAA